GUUUCAACAGCAGUGGGGACAUUCCCACAGGAUUUUUUUCCUACCACAUUCUGACUUUUUAAAGCAAACAUUUUUGGUGGUACUGGGGAUUGAACCCAGGGCCUUCACAAUGAGUUACAUUCCCAGCCCUCUUAAAUAUAUUUGUGCUUUCUAAAUUUUGGGACAGACUCUGUAAGUUACUACAUUGACCAGGCGGGGCUUGAACUUGCAAUCUUCCUGUUUCAGCCUCCUGGAGUGUUGGGCUCACAGGCCUGAGCCACCACACCCAGAUCAUACUCUUACUCUGAGAAGCAGGAAGCCACAGGUGUGACAGGGUGGCCUUCCUUCCAUCUUGCUCAAAAUAGUGCCUCUUUGUUAGCCUGUGAAAAGGUUCUCCACUGAGAUUUCUCUUGCUUUCUGUCAUUCAGAAUGUUUCUUAUUAGGAGAGUCAACUUUCAGAUUCUCUGAAGAAAAUUAUUUCCUAGGAAAGGUAAGAGGUUAAAGAAGAUGCUGCUAAAAUUAGCUCCUUUUAUGGCCCUGUAGAAGUGAUUACAGCAACGCAGUCGUUGGAGGCAAUAACUUAAGAAAUGCUUCAGAAAUGAACUCUUCAUGCCGAUUGGCAAGAGCUCUCCAGGAAUCCCAGUUAUAAUUACUGCUGAUUCUUGGGGGGCUCUUUAAGAUGGAGUGGCUCUGGGGCUCACUGCUCAGGUGAGCCUUCUGGUUCGCUGCAUUGCAAUUUGAUGCAUCGCGCUGAACUCUCACCCCACAGUUUGCUUGCUGAUGACUAUUUAAUGAGGCCUGCAGCCUUCAGAAAUCUCCAUGAUGAAGAGAGCUGAUCCUUAGUGCCAUCAGCUGCCCGGAUUCCAGUGCAUUUAAGGAAGUCAAGAUGUUUCUCUUUAACUGUCCACACACCUAGAGGAGCUUGGAGUGAAUGCGACGAGAAGACAGGUCCAGUCAUGGUGCUUGUCCCCUCGCCCAAGGGCCCAGGACAGCUGGACCAACGCUUGCCCACCUACGUCCAACGUGUCGGUGGGGUUUUCAUGCCCUUUCCCAAGCCGCAGGACCCACCGACUAACAGAAGGGGAGUCGGUGCCUUUGGAACUCAGAACGUCAUAAUCUCACUUUGCUACAAGGGCCAUCACUGUAGCACAGGCUGCAGGAAAGGAAAAGGAAGGAAGAAAGGGAAGACCACAGUCAUGGUGUAGCCCUGCAGUCUAAUUAACGUUGCCACCGAUUUAGGUGUGAUUAGCAGUGCGUUUCCAUUCCUUAGUCAAUAAAGGUGAUGAGAUUGGACCAAGCUGAUUGUUUCUGCUGUGCAGAUGCACGCUGGCCCCUGGUUGGCUGGAUGGCUCUCACCUGCUAAUCGGGGUGACCAUCGAGGAGGAGGAAGUGGAUAGAGGUAAAUGCCUUCUCCUAACGCGGAGGACUCACACUAGUGGCCACGGCAGAAGCUCUUGCUAAUAUUUGGGCUGCGAUCCUCACAGGUAAUUGGACCUAUGCCUAUCACGCGACACCCAUCUGAUCCGGGGAAGGUGUGAGCAGAGCGUGGGUUUGGGGCAGUGCCCUGGAGGAUCUCCAGAAUGGUUCAGCUGAACUGAGAUUGUCUCUUUAAUUACCACUUUGCCAG
ensembl:lincRNA